AGGAUAUCUUCCCCGUCAUCACUAACUUCCAGACAGCUUGUUGAGGACACUGUGAUACAGGGAUAUCUUGUACCAAAAGGGUUCAACGUGACCUUGUUCCUACGCCCAGCCGGCAGCAGGAGGAGCACUUCGCUCGAGCCCCCGAGUUCCUUCCGGAGCGCUGGCUGAGCGACGAGCCUCUUGGGCCCAAAAACCCUUAUGCCUCGAUGCCCUUCAGCCGCGGCAUCCGCAGUUGCAUCGCUCGUGCUUUCGCAGAGCAACUCACUUGCACACUUCUUGCCAGGCUGUUGCUCAAGUACCGCUUGGAGUGGCAUUACGGUCCGCUCGACCCUCUCAUGGUUUUCACGCUCAUCCCUGACAAACCUCUUCGACUGCGGAUGGUAGAGCGCCAGUGACGGCGUUCGCGUCGGCGCCGAAGGCAUGGCUCUUAGAAACUCAUUGUUACGAGUCUUUAGGUUUCAUUCGGUAUUGUGAGGCAGGUAUUCCCUCUUUUGUUUAGCCUGGAUGCCCUUAGGUGGAGAAAGUUAUCCGAAGUUGCCUGUGUCUCACCAUACGAACCGUGGAUAUGAGGAAGGGCAAAGGAGGCAGAAGGACAGAGUAGAAGCAGAGGACAGGAGAAAAUAGAUCAGCUGAGCACACAGCUACAAGUGCCAAGCUCUGGUUACAAAUGUCGACAGCGGUGGUUACAUAACGGGGAUUCAGAGUGCUGGAUAAAAUAUAAAGUGACACACAGCUACAACAAGAAAUGAAGAAUGAUUUUGAUAUAUUGUUCCCCUUUUAUUGCCAGUGUUUGUGUUUCAUUUCGUCAUCCAUAUUGUAUGCUUAUCAAAGGACAGGACGUUCUGACUAUCCCUUGCAUUAUAUAUUACUUAUGCUGAACCAUGCAUCCCAACAACAACUGCAUCUUGAAACCGGCGUAGGACUGUUCCUCGCAUAAUCUGGGACCGCGAGCAAACAUAGCAAAUAUGUUACUAAAUCCUCGCAUAUACGGAAAAUGAAGGAAACAAUCCAGAAUCAUGGAAAAGAUGUAUGUAAAAGUUUUUCCAUUCCUAUUCAUCAUGUUUGGUGCAUUUAACUUCGGGCAUGCAAUAUGUCUAAGCAACACUGAAUGUCAAAAUAAACACUAUAAAAUAUAUAAAGUUUGAUAAACAUACUUAAUGCUAAUUACCUCGUUAAUCAGUCUGAUACGUGGUGUAAAUUGUGUUCAGG
rnacentral:lncRNA from 1 species